CUUAUGACAUAGGAAUUCUUCUGUAUGUAUACAAUUUAAUAACAAAUUGGAUAUGUUAACAAAUUAAUCAAUACAUAAUCAUUAGCAGGGGCUGGAAAGCCAGGAUGGGUGCCAUCAGCCCACGUGGUCAUUGUAACAUUCAUAAAAGAUGGAAAGCUGAUAGAAAGAGCAUAAAGGAUGGUAAAACACACAGAAGCUGAGGAAAUUGCUAACACAUGCAGGUGAAGAAGAGAAUCUUUAAAAAGUGAUUUUUUUUCCCCAGUGAAGAAGAGAAUCUUUAAAAAAAAUUUUUUUUUCCCCAUUAGAGUUCAGAAUAAUUUCAAGAUGAUAGGCAGUGAUGCCAUAUAAACAGAACUUGGGAGCUUGAGAAAAUGUCCUGCUACCAAGACUGACCAAGGCAGAUUCUUAUUUAUGAAUAUAUGUAAAUGACUGAGCAUCUCCCAACAGGUGAGACAAUCCACCCCUGUGGAAGAAAGCAUGGUACCACACACACAAUUCAAACCCAGGAGGAAAAAUAGUUAUAAUUUGAAAAGGAACACUGACUACAGUAGCAGAGUACAAUUAAUGCAGUCAGAGACAUUACUGGCAACAUGCAGUCGUUCAGCCUGA
rnacentral:lncRNA from 1 species